rnacentral:rRNA from 1 species
ACCAGACUCCUACGGGAGGCAGCAGUGGGGAAUAUUGCACAAUGGGGGAAACCCUGAUGCAGCGACGCCGCGUGAGUGAAGAAGUAUUUCGGUAUGUAAAGCUCUAUCAGCAGGGAAGAAGAAGGACGGUACCUGACUAAGAAGCCCCGGCUAACUACGUGCCAGCAGCCGCGGUAAUACGUAGGGGGCGAGCGUUAUCCGGAUUUACUGGGUGUAAAGGGAGCGUAGACGGUUAAUCAAGUCUGAAGUGAAAGCCCGCGGCUCAACUGCGGAACGGCUUUGGAAACUGAGUAACUGGAGUGCUGGAGGGGCAGGCGGAAUUCCUGGUGUAGCGGUGAAAUGCGUAGAUAUCAGGAGGAACACCGGUGGCGAAGGCGGCCUGCUGGACAGUAACUGACGUUGAGGCUCGAAAGCGUGGGGAGCAAACAGGAUUAGAUACCCGCGUA